UAUUGAGUUAUCGGUUCGGGCACGAUUUGGCAAUUCUAUUAUUGGGUAAAUAGAUAAUCUAAUAAGGGUUAACUAAUUUACUAGUUUGCCCUGGAGUAUAUACAUACUGAUACUAGGGUUUCAUAUACAUAUUCACUUCUCAGUUCUCCGCCUCACACCAGUUCUACGCCAGUCCGCCUCAGGGCUCACGGCACGCCCUCACCAGUCACCAGUUCUCCGCCUCACGGCUCACCUUCCUACGUUCAAAGGGUAUUUUCCUCUUGCUUUUUACGAAUAUAUUUCCAAAUCCUCUCAUAUUUCUUCUUUUUUAUUUCAGUUCAGUUUUACUUUUUUAUUUUCCUCUCAUUUUUCUUGCUAGGUAUUUUUAACAAACUGCAUAAUUUAAUUGUCUUUUGCCCUAAAAAGAAACGUUAACUACUACAGAGUAGUAAUUUUUUAGAAAGUUUCUAUACAAAGGGAAGCGGGUUUGGCAAUGGCUUUUGUGAAUCCAGUUUAUGAAGUGAUUUUGUGAAGGCAGUUACUGCUUGUGGAUUAGAUGGCUUGUGGUUUUGGCAGUGACUUUUGUGGCAUUAGUGGUGCCUAAUUUUGCUGAUUUCUUGUCACUUGUUGGGAGCAGUGUGUGUAUUAUUUUGGGGUUUGUUUUGCCUGCUUUAUUUCACCUGAUUGUGUUUAAGGAUGAGCUAGUAAAAUUCCGGAAAAAUUUUAGUGUUAUCUUGUGUCGAAUUUUUAUGUGUUUCAUUUUAAGAUUUUGUUGCCUCGCUUCUUGAUUUCUUUUAAAUCAAACUUACAGUGACACAAACGCUUGGCUGUAAAUAUCAUGAUUGAUAAAGUGAUUGGUGAAAGUGGAGCUUCUAAUUUAAAUGCAACAGCACAAUCUCAAUCAGUUCAAUUGAAAGUAAAGAGACAACGAAAAAAGAGGUCUGUUGCAUGGGAACAUUUUGACCAAAUUAUUGAUCCGGAAGGGAAUCAAAAGGGUGUAUGUAAACAUUGCAAAAAAGAAUAUUUUGCCGAUUCAAAAGAAAAUGGUACAAAAUCACUCCUUACACAUAUUAAGGAGUGUGAGUUAAAACUUUGGUAUAUAUUCCUUCUCAUAGAUUUUACCAAUCUUGGAAACGAACCCUGUGAUGAUGAUGUGUAGAACCUUAGAUAGUUGUGAGUUAAAACUUUGGUAAGUUAAUUACUAUUCAACUUAUAUAACACAUAGUAUGAUUACAAAUAUUACUUGACUUAAUAUAUUUUCUUUUUAUGUUUAAUAGGUGUAACUAGGGGUGUUCAAACCAAACCGGAAAACCGCCAAACCGAAAAACCAAACCAAACCGAUUAAACCCGACUAGGUUUGGUUUGACUUGGUUUGGUAUUGAGUAAAAAAACCCGAACCAAACCGACAUAUAAAUAUAUAAAUUUUAUUUAUAUUUUUAAGACUUUAUAGUGAUUUUUCUUUAGAAAAUAUAGAAAUAUUUGGGAUCCUCUCAUGUAUUAACCUUGAAAGCGUAAAUUAACGAAAAAUUAUUGUUAGACGACUAAGAAAAUAACUACAAUGUGUUACUAAAAAAAAUCCUCUCAUUAGAAUAUUUUAAUAGAACUUAU
rnacentral:lncRNA from 1 species